rnacentral:rRNA from 1 species
UACGUAGGAGGCGAGCGUUGUCCGGAUUUACUGGGCGUAAAGCGCGCGCAGGCGGCACACUAAGUACGAUGUGAAAUCUCCCUGCUCAACGGGGAGGGUGCAUAGUAAACUGGUGAGCUAGAGGACGGUAGAGGGGGGUGGAAUUGCUGGUGUAGCGGUGAAAUGCGUAGAGAUCGGCAGGAACACCCAGGGGGAAACCAGCGGACUGGGCAUCGGCUGACGCUCAGGUGCGACAGCGUGGGGAGCGAACCGG